CAGCCAGCCGCUGGCGAGAAAUUGCUUUGGAAUGACACGAUCACUCCCGCUGAGCAAGCAGCCAGAGCCAUCGGGAAUAUCGUGUCCGUCCAAAGCUUUUUCGGCACCUCCUGGAGGAAGAU
rnacentral:pre_miRNA from 15 species